GAAAUGCGAUAAGUAGUGUGAAUUGCAGAAUUUAGCGAAUCAUCGAAUCUUUGAACGCACAUUGCGCCCCUUGGUAUUCCAUGGGGCAUGCCUGUUCGAGCGUCAUUACAACCCUCAGGCCCCCGGGCCUGGCGUUGGGGAUCGGCGGAAGCCCCCUGCGGGCACAACGCCGUCCCCCAAAUACAGUGGCGGUCCCGCCGCAGCUUCCAUUGCGUAGUAGCUAACACCUCGCAACUGGAGAGCGGCGCGGCCACGCCGUAAAACACCCAACUUCUGAAUGUUGACCUCGAAUCAGGUAGGAAUACCCGCUGAACUUAAGC
rnacentral:misc_RNA from 1 species